rnacentral:rRNA from 1 species
GGGGCUAAACCAUGCACCGAAGCUGCGGCAGCGAACGUAUCACCCAAGACAACUUUACGGAGUUGACGAUUGACGGAGCGAAGCGACGUCAAAGCGUUCAUUAAAGUCGAGUUGGCUUAGGGAUACGUUCGUUGGGUAGGGGAGCGUUCUGUAAGCCUGUGAAGGUGUGUCGUGAGGCAUGCUGGAGGUAUCAGAAGUGCGAAUGCUGACAUAAGUAACGAUAAAGCGGGUGAAAAGCCCGCUCGCCGGAAGACCAAGGGUUCCUGUCCAACGUUAAUCGGGGCAGGGUGAGUCGACCCCUAAGGCGAGGCCGAAAGGCGUAGUCGAUGGGAAACGGGUUAAUAUUCCCGUACUUGGUGUUACUGCGAAGGGGGGACGGAGAAGGCUAUGUUGGCCGGGCGACGGUUGUCCCGGUUUAAGCGUGUAGGUGUGUGUUCCAGGUAAAUCCGGUUCACUUUAACACUGAGGCGUGACGACGAGGCACUACGGUGCUGAAGCAACAAAUGCCCUGCUUCCAGGAAAAGCCUCUAAGCAUCAGGUAACAC